AUACGGAGGGGGCUAGCGUUGUUCGGAAUUACUGGGCGUAAAGCGCGCGUAGGCGGUUUAUCAAGUCAGGCGUGAAAGCCCUGGGCUCAACCCAGGAACUGCGUUUGAUACUGGUUGACUAGAGGCCGGGAGAGGGUAGUGGAAUUCCCAGUGUAGAGGUGAAAUUCGUAGAUAUUGGGAAGAACACCGGUGGCGAAGGCGGCUACCUGGACCGGACCUGACGCUGAGGUGCGAAAGCGUGGGGAGCAAACAGGAUUAGAUACCCCAGUAGUCC
rnacentral:rRNA from 1 species